UAAAGAACUACCUCAAGCUGAGCUCACAAGUGAAGAAGAGAAUGAUUUAAGUAACCAGGUAUCUCUAGCCGUUACAGAAUUAUAUCAAUUUGAGAGAGAAUCGUCCCUGCUUCGGCUGGCCCCAUGCUCCGAGAUAUUGGGGGAACCGUUCCUUGAUGCAUAUCUGCGGUCUGAGGAGGAGGGCACGCAGAGUGCUCCUGAUCCUGUACUCGCUGGUUUAGGGGAUUCUCCUCGAUUGAUUCCAGUUGUAUCUACCCAAGAUAAUGCAGAGACUGUUCUCCCUUCUACAGAAGUUGCAUCGCAGUCUUUGUUCCGAGGAUCUUACAAGCCAGAAACCAAGUCAGACCCAGGAUUUCUGAGUGAUGCACCUGUUACCAGCAAUAGUCCCAGAUCUAGUGGGUUAGCACAUUUGUCGAUCACUGGUAAGGAGUGUUUAUCGUAUGUGCCUUUAAUUUCUGUUUAUGUGUCUGCCCUUCUAAUGCUAAAUGUUACUCUACAGUCCUUGCUCUUGUAUGUUUCUAUUCUGCCUCGUUUGUUUCUCCCGUGGGAUUCUCCGCCUCUUAUUCCUCCUGAACCUCCUCCUUGUUUUCCUCUACUGGUUGGGUGACCCUGUUUUUCUUCUGUCACCCGUGGGGGAUCUUGGGGUUUUGGAGCGCCAGGAGUCGCUCCUUAAGGGGGGGG